UCUGGAUAUGGCUGAGACAGAGAAGAGAGAGAGGAGGUCUGGAUAUGGCUGAGCCAGAGAAGAGAGGGAUGAGGUCUGGAUAAGGCUGAGACAGAGAAGAGAGAGAGGAGGUCUGGAUAUGGCUGAGCAAGAGAAGAGAGAGAGGAGGUCUGGAUAUGGCUGAGCCAGAGAAGAGAGAGAGGAGGUCUGGAUAUGGCUGAGCCAGAGAAGAGAGGGAUGAGGUCUGGAUAAGGCUGAGACAGAGAAGAGAGAGAGGAGGUCUGGAUAUGGCUGAGCCAGAGAAGAGAGGGAUGAGGUCUGGAUAAGGCUGAGCCAGAGAAGAGAGAGAGGAGGUCUGGAUAUGGCUGAGGCAGAGAAGAGAGAGAGGAGGUCUGGAUAUGGCUGAGCCAGAGAAGAGAGGGAUGAGGUCUGGAUAAGGCUGAGACAGAGAAGAGAGAGAGGAGGUCUGGAUAUGGCUGAGCCAGAGAAGAGAGGGAUGAGGUCUAGAUAAGGCUGAGACAGAGAAGAGAAGGAGGAGGUCUGGAUAUGGCUGAGCCAGAGAAGAGAGGGAUGAGGUCUAGAUAAGGCUGAGACAGAGAAGAGAAGGAGGAGGUCUGGAUAUGGCUGAGCCAGAGAAGAGAGGGAUGAGGUCUGGAUAAGGCUGAGACAGAGAAGAGAGGGAGGAGGUCUGGAUAUGGCUGAGCCAGAGAAGAGAGGGAUGAGGUCUGGAUAUGGCUGAGACAGAGAAGAGAGAGAGGAGGUCUGGAUAUGGCUGAGACAGAGAAGAGAGGGAUGAGGUCUGGAUAUGGCUGAGACAGAGAAGAGAGAGAGGAGGUCUGGAUAUGGCUGAGACAGAGAAGAGAGGGAUGAGGUCUGGAUAUGGCUGAGCCAGAGAAGAGAGAGAGGAGGUCUGGAUAUGGCUGAGACAGAGAAGAGAGAGAGGAGGUCUGGAUAUGGCUGAGACAGAGAAGAGAGAGAGGAGGUCUGGAUAUGGCUGAGACAGAGAAGAGAGAGAGGAGGUCUGGAUAUGGCUGAGCCAGAGAAGAGAGAGAGGAGGUCUGGAUAUGGCUGAG